rnacentral:tRNA from 1 species
UCAAGAGGUAGUUUAAUGUAAAAUAACAGCUUUGGGAGUUGUAAACGUAAGUGCGAGUCUUACCCUGUUGAA